GUCUUCGAGUCGUUGAUUUCACACUGCCGAGAAAAGCCUCUAGAUAGAAAAUAGGUGCCCGUACCGCAAACCGACACAGGUAGUCAAGAUGAGAAUUCUAAGGUGAGCGAGCGAACUCUCGUUAAGGAACUCGGCAAAAUGACCCCGUAACUUCGGGAGAAGGGGUGCUCUUUAGGGUUAACGCCCAGAAGAGCCGCAGUGAAUAGGCCCAAGCGACUGUUUAUCAAAAACACAGGUCUCUGCUAAACCGUAAGGUGAUGUAUAGGGGCUGACGCCUGCCCGGUGCUGGAAGGUUAAGAGGAGUGGUUAGCUUCUGCGAAGCUACGAAUCGAAGCCCCAGUAAACGGCGGCCGUAACUAUAACGGUCCUAAGGUAGCGAAAUUCCUUGUCGGGUAAGUUCCGACCCGCACGAAAGGCGUAACGAUUUGGGCACUGUCUCAACGAGAGACUCGGUGAAAUCAUAGUACCUGUGAAGAUGCAGGUUACCCGCG
rnacentral:rRNA from 1 species